rnacentral:rRNA from 1 species
GAUGAACGCUGGCGGCGUGCCUAAUACAUGCAAGUCGAGCGAACAGACGAGGAGCUUGCUCCUCUGACGUUAGCGGCGGACGGGUGAGUAACACGUGGAUAACCUACCUAUAAGACUGGGAUAACUUCGGGAAACCGGCGCUAAUACCGGAUAAUAUAUUGAACCGCAUGGUUCAAUAGUGAAAGACGGUUUUGCUGUCACUUAUAGAUGGAUCCGCGCCGCAUUAGCUAGUUGGUAAGGUAACGGCUUACCAAGGCAACGAUGCGUAGCCGACCUGAGAGGUUGAUCGGCCACACUGGAGCUGGGACGCGGUCCAGACUCCUACGGGAGGCAGCAGUAGGGAAUCUUCCGCAAUGGGCGAAAGCCUGACGGAGCAACGCCGCGUGAGUGAUGAAGGUCUUCGGAUCGUAAAACUCUGUUAUUAGUGAAGAACAAAUGUGUAAGUAACUAUGCACGUCUUGACGGUACCUAAUCAGAAAGCCACGGCUAACUACGUG